AACAACAGCCUAAAUUUUCCAAUAGCCUCAACUUGAACCCUUUUGCCGUCACCCACAUAAAUGUAUCUUUCACCAUCAUUUGGUUUUCGGCAGUUAAGGCAACCCUGCAUAGAUAUACUUUUGUGAGUAGUAGCAGCAGAAUCUACCCACCAAGUAUCCUUAGGUACCGAAAUUAAAUUAACUUCAGAACAAACAACAGAAAGAAAUGUACCUUUUUUCGCACGCUAAGCGUGGUACUUGGUACAAUACUUCUUCACAUGAUUAGUCCCCUUACAGAAAAAGUAACCUAAUUCAGUAAUUUCAACCUUAGGUUCCUUAUGUUGCUUAAUCUUGGGCCUUGCAACCGCAACUUCCUUACNN
rnacentral:lncRNA from 1 species